rnacentral:lncRNA from 1 species
GCCCCUGGUUUUGGGCCGAUUUUUUUUUUGAUAAAGGGGAACCAAGCUCAGAUCUCUUAUAUUUUCUUCUUUAACACAUGGAAACAACUUUCUCGCUCACAAUUUUUGGGUAGAAAGAGCAGGGGUAAAAAGCGCAAAAGCAGCUCUCUCUCUCUCCUUCACUCUCUCUCUAGUCUUUGACUUUCUCAGAUCCACGGUGGCUGGGAUUGAUGGGGGUGAUUUGGCGGUGUUGGAUGAGUGAUUUGGCAGCGGUGGAUGGGGAAAACGUGGGUGGUAGCAGAUCGGGUGAAGUGGUG